rnacentral:rRNA from 1 species
AGCUUACCAAGGCUAUGACGGGUAGCUGGUCUGAGAGGAUGAUCAGCCACACUGGAACUGAGACACGGUCCAGACUCCUACGGGAGGCAGCAGUGGGGAAUAUUGCGCAAUGGGGGCAACCCUGACGCAGCAACGCCGCGUGGAGGAUGACGCACUUCGGUGUGUAAACUCCUUUUAACAAGGAAGAUAAUGACGGUACUUGUUGAAUAAGCACCGGCUAACUCCGUGCCAGCAGCCGCGGUAAUACGGAGGGUGCAAGCGUUACUCGGAAUCACUGGGCGUAAAGCGCAUGUAGGCGGACUUACAAGUCAGGUGUGAAAUCCUAUGGCUCAACCAUAGAACAGCACUUGAAACUGUAAGUCUAGAGUUCGGGAGAGGCAGAUGGAAUUUCCGGUGUAGGGGUAAAAUCCGUAGAGAUCGGAAGGAAUACCUAUUGCGAAGGCGAUCUGCUGGAACGCAACUGACGCUCAGAUGCGAAAGCGUGGGUAGCAAACAGGAUUAGAUACCCUGGUAGUCCACGCCCUAAACGAUGGAUGCUAGUUGUUGGGGUGCCAGUCACUUCAGUAAUGCAGCUAACGCAUUAAGCAUCCCGCCUGGGGAGUACGGUCGCAAGAUUAAAACUCAAAGGAAUAGACGGGGACCCGCACAAGCGGUGGAGCAUGUGGUUUAAUUCGAAGAUACGCGAAGAACCCUUACCCUGGGCUUGACAUUCCUAAGGAACUUCUGUAGAGAUACAUUGGUGCUAGCUUGCUAGAACUUAGUGACAGGUGCUGCACGGCUGUCGUCAGCUCGUGUCGUGAGAUGUUUNGGGUUAAGUCCCGCAACGAGCGCAACUCCCCGUCCUUAGUUGCUAACGGGUUCGGCCGAGAACUCUAAGGAGACUGCCUUCGUAACACCAGGAAGCUGGGGACGACGUCAAGUCAUCAUGGCCCUUAUGCCCAGGGCACACACGUGCUACAAUGGGGUGUACAGAGAGAAGCAAUACUGCGAAGUGGAGCAAAUCUCUAAAGCAUCUCUUAGUUCGGAUUGCUCUCUGCAACUCGAGAGCAUGAAGCCGGAAUCGCUAGUAAUCGUGAAUCAGCUACCUCACGGUGAUACGUUCCCGGGUCUUGUACUCACCGCCCGUCACACCAUGGGAGUGCAUUCACCCGAA